rnacentral:piRNA from 1 species
UAGAAAUUUCCAUGUAAAGUGUCUAGGGCA